UUGCAAGGAAUUUACAAAAAUUGCAAGCGAACUUAUUUGCAAGUGAAAAGUAAUAAAUACCGUGGUAGUAAAAAUGUAUUAUUUAAAUUAAAUCAAUUUUAAGUGACUUAUAAACGUUAAUUGAGUGAUAAUUAAAAAGCAGAGCAGAGAUAUAUAGAAGUGUGUUCAACGACGUAAAAAGCAACGUUUUCGCAAUAAUUAAAUUGAAGUCUUCAAUUAAGCCAGCCAAGGACGCCAUUUUAAGACAGAGGAAUCUGAAGCUUUUUCUAUUGGUGGUUAUUUCUUCUGUCUUCAUGUGACUUCUUCGCACUUUGUUGUAUAUUGGACUCAAAAAUGCUUUUAAAUAAUUAAAAGUUAGCUUGGAAAAUUGUAUAAUUUGUUAAAAAUUCAUCUUGGGGAAAAAUGGUAAUUAGAAGAGCCUAAUAAGUAAUAAUAGUUCUAGCAGCUAAUGUUCGUUCAAAAAAUGUUUUUGUCUAACAAUUUAUUUAUAAGAUAAUUAAUAAAAUAAAUAAUAAAAAAUAAAUAAUAAAUCGACUAUACUGUUUCAACUA
rnacentral:lncRNA from 1 species